ensembl:lncRNA ZNRD2-DT ZNRD2 divergent transcript
GACGUCAAAGCGGAGCGCCCUCCGCUGCGGCUCCGCCCGUUCCAUAGCUGCCGCGGAUCAGGGCGGACGUGACGCCUUAGCGUGGUCCUCAGACCUCGCUGUGCCCGGGGUGGGGCGUGUCGGCUGCUACCGAGAACCUGCUCGGGGGACGCGUCCGUCAACCGGAAUCCAGGGGACAGAAGCUUCCGACGCGCGAGGCCUCGGGAGGAGCGUCUCCUUGGUAACUCUCCUCCGGUCGCAAGACCUGGAAGUGGCCUCAGGGGGUCGCCCUUCCUGUCCGUCGUGGAUGAAGGGGACCACUUGGCUUCAGAAAUCCCCGCUGGCCUCCGCCUCCCCUGGGGUUUCCCUUUCGGCGCAGGCGGGGCAGCGGCGUCAUCACAACCAUCGCCACCCCAGUAAUCACAGCGAGCGGCCCUUUGCGCACGCGUGGAGCCUUCUCAGGCCUCAGUACUUCUCACUUCGCCCGGCAAGGCUGGCCAGGAGGGGUGCAUUCUCCCUUUCCGCGUAUUUCAAGACCACUCCCCUUCUGCAUGCUCGGUGUCCCAGUCUGUCUCCUCGCUGCCUCCCGAGGCCUGGAACUGAAGCAAAGUUCGCCCCGAAGCCGACCGUUCUUUGAAGUUGAAAUCCUCAAAAAGCCUGCAGACUGAAUAGCGCUGUACUGGGCACGCGCAUUGCGCUUCCAGCCGCCCUUGGGUGCUGCGUGCUGGGCCGGGUCGGGUUGGGGCCUUCCUACAUACUCUUGCGACCAUUAGGCUCUUCUUGGGUGAGUUGCAAGUUAAAAUUACCAGGGCUCUCUGAACAUGGACCUUGGUGCUUUUUUUCUCUCUCCCUCUUCCGUGUUCUUUUUCAAACGCAUCUUCUCCCUUAUUAGAUUCAGAGAAGCCAGACAGGGCAGGCAGGGGUCCUCAGAUGUGCAGUCUGCAGGGCCUGAGGUUGUACACCAGGGCAGUGGAAAAGCAGCUAGGACUUGGACUUUCACAGUUACAUCGACAUUCUCCUCUUCCGGAUGGCACAUGCCCCCUCAAUCUGACCUGAAGUCCCUUCCUCCUGGCCCCCUCUUCCUUCCACGUAGAACCCCUGGAACUGUCAUUCUUGCUGCCUCCUGCUUACGUGGAGAGCCCUGUGUCCCUUUCACAUCUCCAUCUACCAGUCAGGCUCUUGGGCAGCAGCGUACCUGACUUAGGGCCUGUACCACAAGUCGUUUCUAUCAGGCUGAAUAGAGCCACCGUUUUUUGUGUGUUUGUUUGGUUUGGUUUGUAUUUUUUGUAGAGAUGGGGUUUCGUCAUGUUGCCCAGGCUGGUCUCCAACUCCUGGACUCAAGUGAUCCUCACACCUCAGCCUCCCAAAGUGCUGGGAUUACAGCGAAGAGCCACAGCACCUAGCCUGAGGCUGACUAGAGGAACUGUCUCUGAACCAUCUCUUGGACUCCAGCCUGUAUGCACAGACCCCCAGGUUAUUACCGUCUCCAGCUCCCAGCCCUACCCUGAAUUCCUCAGUGCGCCGACUAUGUCACCAUCAUGGCCAAUAUCCACUCAACUGUCUAUUCUGCCUCGCACCUACAAAGAGCCUUACAUGAGUCCUCUCACUUAAUCUCUCCAAUUUACUCCUCAUGACAACCUUACAUAUCCCCACAUAAGCAGGAAACUGAAUAAUUAUUUUAAAAUACAGUGUCGUUCUUGUACUAAAAACCAUCUGGCUGCCCGAUACUGUGGCUCACGCCUGUAACCCCAGCACAUUGGGAGGCCGAGGCGGGCAGAUGUCUUGAGAUCAGGAGUUCAAGACCAGCCUGGCCAACAUAGUGAAACCCCUUCUCUACUAAAAAUACAAAAAUUAGCCAGGUGUGGUGGCGGGCGCCCGUAAUCCCAGCUACUCGGGAGGCUGAACCAGGAGAAUUGCUUGAACCGGGAGGCAGAAGUUGCAGUGAGCCGAGAUCACACCACUGCACUCCAGCCUGGGCAACAGAGUGAGACUCUAUCU